rnacentral:rRNA from 1 species
GUAAGGGCUCGCAGGCGGUUUCUUAAGUCUGAUGUGAAAGCCCCCGGCUCAACCGGGGAGGGUCAUUGGAAACUGGGGAACUUGAGUGCAGAAGAGGAGAGUGGAAUUCCACGUGUAGCGGUGAAAUGCGUAGAGAUGUGGAGGAACACCAGUGGCGAAGGCGACUCUCUGGUCUGUAACUGACGCUGAGGAGCGAAAGCGUGGGGAGCGAACAGGAUUAGAUACCCUGGUAGUCCACGCCGUAAACGAUGAGUGCUAAGUGUUAGGGGGUUUCCGCCCCUUAGUGCUGCAGCUAACGCAUUAAGCACUCCGCCUGGGGAGUACGGUCGCAAGACUGAAACUCAAAGGAAUUGGCGGGGGAGCACAG